rfam:Bacterium TMED161 isolate TMED161 39791, whole genome shotgun sequence.
GACCCAGUAGCUCAGGUGGUAGAGCAACGCCCUUUUAAGGCGGAUGUCGAAGGUUCGAGUCCUUCCUGGGUCA